rnacentral:rRNA from 1 species
GAUGAACGCUAGCUACAGGCUUAACACAUGCAAGUAGAGGGACCGGCGCACGGGUGAGUAACACGUAUCCAACCUGCCCUUUACUCGGGGAUAGCCUUUCGAAAGAAAGAUUAAUACCCGAUAGCAAGGGUGGGGAUGCGUUCCAUUAGGUUGUUGGUGAGGUAACGGCUCACCAAGCAUUCGAUGGAUAGGGGUUCUGAGAGGAAGGUCCCCCACAUUGGAACUGAGACACAGUCCCAACUCCUACUGGAGGCAGCAGGGAGGAAUAUUGGUCUAUGGGCGCUAGCCUGAACCUGCCAAUUAGCGAGAAGGAUGAAUGCCUAUGUGUCGUAAACUUCUUUUAGAUAAGAAUAGGUAUUAAAUGAAGAAGGAUCGGCUAACUCCGUGCCAGCAGCCGCGGUAAUAC